AUGGGAACGCGAAGAACCUUACCUACUCUUGACAUCCAGAGAACUUAGCAGAGAUGCUUUGGUGCCUUCGGGAACUCUGAGACAGGUGCUGCAUGGCUGUCGUCAGCUCGUGUUGUGAAAUGUUGGGUUAAGUCCCGCAACGAGCGCAACCCUUAUCCUUUGUUGCCAGCGGUCCGGCCGGGAACUCAAAGGAGACUGCCAGUGAUAAACUGGAGGAAGGUGGGGAUGAGUCAAGUCAUCAUGGCCCUUACGAGUAGGGCUACACACGUGCUACAAUGGCGCAUACAAAGAGAAGCGACCUCGCGAGAGCAAGCGGACCUCAUAAAGUGCGUCGUAGUCCGGAUUGGAGUCUGCAACUCGACUCCAUGAAGUCGGAAUCGCUAGUAAUCGUAGAUCAGAAUGCUACGGUGAAUACGUUCCCGGGUCUUGUACACACCG
rnacentral:rRNA from 1 species